UACAGGGGGGGCAAGCGUUGUUCGGAAUUACUGGGCGUAAAGGGCUCGUGAGGUGGCCAACUAAGUCAGACGUGAAAUCCCGUCACGCUUAACUGGGGAACAUGCGUCUGAUACUGGAUGGCUUGAGUUUGGGAGAGGGAGUGCGGAAUUCCAGGUGUAGCGGUGAAAUGCGUAGAUAUCUGGAGGAACACCGGUGGCGAAGGCGGUCAUCCUGGGACCAAUACUGACACUGAGGAGCGAAAGCCAGGGGAGCAAACGGG
rnacentral:rRNA from 1 species